rnacentral:rRNA from 1 species
UACAGAGGGUGCAAGCGUUAAUCGGAAUUACUGGGCGUAAAGCGUGCGUAGACGGUUAUGUAAGUCAGAUGUGAAAGCCCCGGGCUCAACCUGGGAAUUGCAUUUGAGACUGCAUAGCUAGGGUGCGGAAGAGGGAAGCGGAAUUUCCGGUGUAGCGGUGAAAUGCGUAGAUACAGGAAGGAACACCAGUGGCGAAAGCGGCUUCCUGGUCCAGCACCGACGUUCAGGCACGAAAGCGUGGGGAGCAAACAGG